rnacentral:rRNA from 1 species
GUAACACGUGGGUGAUCUGCCCUGCACUUCGGGAUAAGCCUGGGAAACUGGGUCUAAUACCGGAUAGGACGAUGGUUUGGAUGCCAUUGUGGAAAGUUUUUCGGUGUGGGAUGAGCUCGCGGCCUAUCAGCUUGUUGGUGGGGUAAUGGCCUACCAAGGCGUCGACGGGUAGCCGGCCUGAGAGGGUGUACGGCCACAUUGGGACUGAGAUACGGCCCAG